rnacentral:tRNA from 1 species
GGAGCUAUGGCCUAAUCGGUUAAGGCAGUCGUUUGUCGAACGGAAGAUUGCAAGUUCGAAUCUUGUUAGCUCCG